rnacentral:lncRNA from 1 species
UUCUUCGGGACACUUCUCCAGCGCUGCCUUCCCUACCUCUGCCUUUGGAAUGAGUCUCAGACACCAACAAAAUCAAGAUCUGUUCUCAGUCUCGGGUCUGCAGCAGAGUGAUGAGAGGAAGAGAAAAUUCUCCACUCUUCUUGUCUGUUUAUAAUGUUAAUGGACCAUAAAGCAAUGUGGAUGGGUCCCCUCCUAGCGAGGAGCAAGCAAUCGCUGGCUUGAUCCCUUCCAUCACGCCCGGGCAUUUCCGGGGCAAGCGGACUUAGCAGGAGUUUAAGGUGUUCCUUGGAGCCGGAAAAUAUGGUCCAUCGUGGUGGAAGGCAAGGGCAGAGGCUCGAGAACUCAACCCUAGCUGUCAGCAGACCUCUUGGCUGUGCAGUUUUCUUUUCUUACUCUUUGGAGGCUGCGGGUUCCUUGAGUGGUGGUGCCUCAAAGGUGGGAGAAGAAAUCCUGGGAAGAGAGUGAUUCAGGUUCCCAGAAGGUUACCAAGCGCGGACAGACUUUAAGACCAGUUUUCCUCCCUUGCGCGUUGCCGGUUGAUUUUUGCUUGAGGGAAUGGCUGCAUUCUGAAUUCCAGAGAAGUCGAAGCUGCUGGAGAAAUGAAAGCAGCUCUUUCUUGUGGGGUUCCUGGGACCCAUUCUAAGCUCAGCAGCGCCCAGACACUUUCUUCCUCUGGAGUAUUUGUCAUUCACCUUUCAGGACUUGAGGUCUCUCUACUGGGUCCUUGCCUUGAAGAGCAAGCUGAACCCCCUGAGAAACUGCAAGAACCCUGAAAAAACCAGCCUUUUCCAUUUUAGGUCUUCCCCUUUCUACCAGCGCUAGAUCUAUAAUGAUAGAUCCCCAUGCCAGACCUCUCUUUUCCUCUCCCUGUCCUUAUGUGUCUGCCCCCUGAAUGAGUCCCAAGCUAUCUAGACUGAUAGCACUUGUAUUGUAGCUAUGUUGAUAAGAGGGGAAACGGGUGUGGUCCUGUUCAGACUCCUGGGAAUGAGCCCAUUUAUCACAAUGGGGUGAAGAAGCAAAAAGAAGCUGUCUUUGCAGGCAACAUUCUGUCACUACUAAGAAAACUAACUAUGUAACUAACAUUCUUUCUUUCAUUGUUCCAAGAACUGCCUUUCUUAGGGAUCCAUCAGUUGGUGAUUAAGGGCUUUUAAAUAUUGUGCUCGUUAAGUAUCUAACCACAUUCAGUGUGUCUAUGGGUGCUGUUGUUUCCCUGGAAAUUAAAAAAGUAGAG